GACGAACGCUGGCGGCGUGCUUAACACAUGCAAGUCGAACGAAGAGCGAUGGAAGCUUGCUUCUAUCAAUCUUAGUGGCGAACGGGUGAGUAACGCGUAAUCAACCUGCCCUUCAGAGGGGGACAACAGUUGGAAACGACUGCUAAUACCGCAUACGAUCUAAUCUCGGCAUCGAGGAUAGAUGAAAGGUGGCCUCUACAUGUAAGCUAUCACUGAAGGAGGGGAUUGCGUCUGAUUAGCUAGUUGGAGGGGUAACGGCCCACCAAGGCGAUGAUCAGUAGCCGGUCUGAGAGGAUGAACGGCCACAUUGGGACUGAGACACGGCCCAGACUCCUACGGGAGGCAGCAGUGGGGAAUCUUCCGCAAUGGACGAAAGUCUGACGGAGCAACGCCGCGUGAGUGAUGACGGCCUUCGGGUUGUAAAGCUCUGUAAUCGGGACGAAAGGCCCUUCCUGCGAAUAGUUAGAAGG
rnacentral:rRNA from 1 species